rnacentral:rRNA from 1 species
CCCGCCCGCCUACGGGAGGCAGCAGUGGGGAAUCUUGGACAAUGGGCGCAAGCCUGAUCCAGCCAUGCCGCGUGAGUGAUGAAGGCCUUAGGGUCGUAAAGCUCUUUCGCCAGAGAUGAUAAUGACAGUAUCUGGUAAAGAAACCCCGGCUAACUCCGUGCCAGCAGCCGCGGUAAUACGGAGGGGGUUAGCGUUGUUCGGAAUUACUGGGCGUAAAGCGCGCGUAGGCGGACCAGAAAGUAAGGGGUGAAAUCCCAGGGCUCAACCCUGGAACUGCCUCUUAAACUCCUGGUCUUGAGUUCGAGAGAGGUGAGUGGAAUUCCGAGUGUAGAGGUGAAAUUCGUAGAUAUUCGGAGGAAACACCAGUGGCGAAGGCGGCUCACUGGCUCGAUACUGACGCUGAGGUGCGAAAGUGUGGGGAGCAAACAGGAUUAGAUACCCUGGUAGUCCACACCGUAAACGAUGAAUGCCAGUCGUCGGGUAGCAUGCUAUUCGGUGACACACCUAACGGAUU